rnacentral:rRNA from 1 species
GACGGAGGAUGCAAGCGUUGUCCGGAAUGAUUGGGCGUAAAGCGUCUGCAGGUGGCCGUUCAAGUCUGCUGUCAAAGACCGGGGCUUAACUUCGGAAAGGCAGUGGAAACUGAACAGCUAGAGUAUGGUAGGGGCAGAGGGAAUUCCUGGUGUAGCGGUGAAAUGCGUAGAGAUCAGGAAGAACAUCGGUGGCGAAGGCGCUCUGCUGGACCAUAACUGACGCUCAGGGACGAAAGCUAGGGGAGCGAAUGGG